rnacentral:lncRNA from 1 species
AGCCCCCUCUGGAUUGAUCUAGGUGUCAGUAACGCACAGGUUUUCCAGCUCUAAGCAGAGAGGAGAGUACACAGAAGAAGGACAGAGUGACUGUGUGACUGGGUGUGUGUGUGUGAGUGAGAGAGUGUGUGGGAGGUCGUGCAGCAUGCAGCAGUAGAGAGGAUACACACACUCGCCAUGGCGUGUCCCCCGCCCCCUCCCCCUGUUUAAGAAGAGCUACGUCCUCCCUCUAACUCACCACUGGGGGCUUCAGAGUGGAGCCCCACACACCACAUCACACCACACCACACACACCGGCCCACUACAAUCCCAGGUGUGUGUGUGCGAGUUGGGUUCUCGCCCCCUUCCUGAGGGAAGAUGUCUGUGGUGAUGCCCCUGGAUGGGGUGAGGGAGGGGGAGAGUGUGCUGGUUACUGAGACCCCAGCCGGCACGCGCUGCAAAGGAAACACCAAUUUACCUGGCAAAGACAACUGCACUGACAACAACAACACAGAGCCUGACGACAACCUCUCACAAGACACACAGAAACGCUGUCAGAACCAUGGCCAUACCAGGAAAAGAGCCAAGUCCAAUGCCAAGCUGAAGCUGGUGCGGAGUCUAGCAGUAUGUGAAGAGUCAUCGGGUCCAUUCUCAACUGAUGGACCUCCAGAGACGCAGGACAUCAUUCAGCUACACAUCAGCUGUCCUUCAGACAAAGAAGAGGAGAAAUCCUCGAAAGAUGAGUACGAGAGUGAGGAGAGGGAGAAGAAGGACAAGACUCCUCGCAAGAUGCUCUCGCGGGACUCCAGUCAGGAGUACACAGACUCCACGGGCAUCGAUGUGCACGAGUUCUUGGUGAACACACUGAAAAACAACCCCAGGGACAGAAUGAUGCUACUGAAGCUGGAACAAGAUAUACUGGAGUUCAUCAAUGAUGACAAUAAUCAGUAUAAGAAGUUCCCUCAGAUGACCUCUUACCAUCGCAUGCUACUGCAUCGGGUGGCAGCAUAUUUUGGAAUGGACCACAACGUGGACCAAACUGGCAAAGCAGUCAUCAUCAACAAAACGAGCAACACGCGCAUCCCUGAACAGAGGUUUUCUGAGCACAUUAAGGACGAAAGGAACAUGGAUUUCCAAAAGAAAUUCAUUCUCAAGAGGGAUGAUGCAAGCAUGGACAAAGACGAUAACCAGAUCCGGGUUCCACUCCAGGAUGGUCGACGCAGUAAGUCCAUUGAGGAGAGGGAGGAGGAGUAUCAGCGUGUUCGAGAUAGAAUCUUUGCUCGGGAAUCCUCUCAAAACGGAUACAUCAAUGACAACAGGGGUAAUAAGGAGAGUUCGAGCAGAGCGUCCAGCAGCCGGCAGAGCAGCACAGACAGCGAUAUGAAGAGUCUGGAGCCACGGCCGUGGAGCAGCACAGACUCGGACAGUUCCAACCGCACACUGCGGCCACCCGUCACCAAGGCCAGCAGCUUCAGUGGCAUCUCUAUCCUCACACGCGGCGACAGCCUGGGCAGCAAGGGCUCGCAGGGUAGCGCCAGGGGGUCACGCACAGGUCUCCCUCUCAUCACCACAGAGACAUGCCCCCAGCCCCAGCCCCCCCAGCAGGGACGCAGCCUCUUGCCCUGUCCUUCCAACUGCCCCUCUAAUGCCCCUCCACCCCAGAACCAGGCGCCCCCACCACCCCCACAAACUUGUCUGUUCCAGGGAGAUGAGUUGACCCCAGGCUUCGGGCAGAUGUCUCUGAGCCGCCAGGGCUCCAGCGAGGCUCCAGAGCCACCCACCCUCUACCAGCCUCCUCCUGCCGUCCUGUCCCAGCACCCCCCACCACAGCCAAGUUACAUCAUGCCCCCACCGCCCUCUGGGUACCAACCGCCCACACCUCACCCACACCCUCCUCCACCCCCUCCGCCUCCUACCCAGCCUGUACUGCAGACAGCACCGCCUAUCCAGGUGCAGUAUUACUCAGCUGGUGGGCAGUAUCCGAGUUCAGGACAGCAGUACAGGUCCAUAUCCCACCAAGUGUCAUACCCUGCUCAACGCUCUCAGACCCUCCCCCCACCAACUCAGCAGCCAACGUAUCAGAGCAUGAUGGGAGUUCAGCAGCCGCAGAGUGCCAGUAUAAUGAGCUCACAGCGCACAGGCAUGAGCGGACAGAUGCAAGGCAUGAUGGUCCAGUACACACCCAUGCCCUCCUAUCAGGUGGCCGUAGCUAAUGAAACCCAGCCUGUGGUGCAGCAGCAGUACCAGCAGCCUGUCAUGGUGCCUGUUAGCCAGUCUGUCCAGGGUGCCAUGCCAACCCCUGCACCCAUGCCAGUCUACUACAGUGUCUUGACCCCCACACAACAGAACAGCACAAGUCCAUCUGUGGGCUACCUGCAGCCUCCCAGUUCAGAUCAGUACCAGAUGACCCAGUCUCCGUCCCCCUGCAGCCCUCAGCAGAUACAGCAGCAGUAUUCAGGAGUGCCGCCCCCUGGUCCAGGUGUCAUGGUGAUGCAGCUGAGUGUUCCAAAUGGGCCACAGUCUACUCAGAAUCCUCCUAUGGUGCAGUGGAAUCCCUGCAAGUAUUAUAGCGUGGAGCAGAGACCCAGCAAGCCUGAACUACAUUUCCCAGAAGUCAGCACUCAGUUAAGUAGUCCUUUGGCAUCUCCUACUCAGUCUCCCACUCCGUCUCCAUCCAGCAGCGGGAACAGUGUGUGCCCUGGACUCGGCCCACUUCCACUCAUUUCUCAGUUUCCUCGGCCUGGAGGACCCGCACAAGGUGACUAUUAUGGUGCAACCUGCCAUCAGAUCACAUUGCACCCAAUUGCAUUUUACUGUACAGACAUAAACACACACACACACACACACACUGGUUCCCCUACUGCCCUACUGAUCCGUGUGUUGGAGGUGACGGAUCUACCCGAGGGCAUCUCUCGUCUAGAUGCCGAGAAGCUCUUCAACCAGCUCUCACUCUGCGGUGCCAAAAUCCAGUGGCUGAAGGACCCCCAGGUGCCCCGGGGGCCCACAACGGCCCCGGGACCCGGGGGAGGAUGCGGAAUGGGCAAAAACGAUGCACAUGACCCAGCCCACCUCUACACAGUGGUGGCCGUGUUCCCAAACACCAUGGCUGCCCAGAGCGCGUCCUUCAAGCUGAACAACAGUGGAGGAAGCCUGUUCAAACUGCGCGCCGCCAAAAAGAACUAUGACCUGCGCGUGCUGGAGCGAGCCAGCUCCCAGUGA